AAAAUUGGGAACAAUAUCAAAGAGAAUAUAAGAUAUAGAUAUUUAAUUGAAAAUGUUAAAAAAAAGGACGAAACAUGUGUAAAAAUAAAGGUAAUUUAGAGCGUAAAGUUAACUGAAAUGACGACAAGAAGAGCGGAGUAAACUACAUCCGUGGUGUGAUUUGGUUGCGAUCAGCGAUGGAGAAACUUGAGUCGGUCUAGCUUACUAAGUUGAAAACGCAAUUGUUGAUCACAGAUUUCGACAGAAAUUCAAAGGAUCUGAGAGAAUUGAUGGUGGAUAUGAUGGGUCAAGUUAACGUUAAGCUCUUAGUCAGGUUUUUGGAAAGAAACAACGGUAUGUUCAUUGUUAGGACUCGCGGUUGUAGCCAUGCAGGAGACGAUUCAAGACAGUAGGACAGAUUUAGACCAAGUGCAGGAUUUUAAUGAAGACUCGCACCGGUACCCUGACAUGAACAUGUAAAUGUUUCGAGCCUCGAAACCAGCCUCGCUUAUAAUCAUGCCGAGUCAUAGCCGUGAUGGAAGUUGCCAGGAAACAACAGGCUAACUUAUCAUCAUGAAGUAAAUAUAUGUUGGCUUAUAACUCUGCCUACAUGUUUUCGCUUCCAAUAUCAUAGAACUUUAUUUUAUAAAUUCACCAUGCAGUAGUUGCAGACGGUAUUUAAAACUGUAUAAAAUGAAACAACAGAACGAUAUAUGUUUAAUGUUUCUCUUUUAUAAAUUGAUGAAAUUCUUGUUUGUUUACAAAAUAAACUGUAUAAAUAUCC